AUCUGAUUUAGAGCUUCAUACGUCUUUAAUAAUUGGAUGGUUAUAAAAAAGUUUCAUGCAAAUAUAUGUAUUGAAUAUGGUUAUAUGCAAUUCCUUUAACUGUUUUAUGUAUUUUGGAAUGUUACUUUGAUGAGCAAUUACGGACCAUCUGAAAGAUAAAGAAAGGGUUCCGGCCACGAUUCUGACCGGAUGUCGCUUAUAUGGAGAUAGUCGUGCACGAUUAGUUGGUUUGUUUGUUUAAAUACUCAUAUACAUCUCGCCUCUGAUUGGGUUCAGAUCUUUUUUAUUCGUGUCAUAGGUCUGAUUGCAAGGGUUUUUUCUUUUCGUAUUCUGAUUUGGUUCAGGAACACCAGUAACCGUGUGGAUACAGGUGCAUUGCCUCUGUUUCAGUUCAGCUAUUUGAGAAAUAGGAAAUCAUUAUCUGAGUUUUGGCGGGAUUGUCCUAUUCUGGCUGAUAAUUCAAAGGAGCAUAAUUGCAUGCCUUAUGAACAUUAUACCGCAACAUUACUUGCACAAAAAGGCCUUGAAGGAGAACCCACAAAU